AUUGAACGCUGGCGGCAUGCCUUACACAUGCAAGUCGAACGGUAACGCGGGGCAACCUGGCGACGAGUGGCGAACGGGUGAGUAAUAUAUCGGAACGUGCCCAGUAGUGGGGGAUAGCCCGGCGAAAGCCGGAUUAAUACCGCAUACGACCUACGGGUGAAAGCAGGGGAUCGCAAGACCUCGCGCUAUUGGAGCGGCCGAUAUCAGAUAGGUAGUUGGUGGGGUAAAGGCCUACCAAGCCGACGAUCUGUAGCUGGUCUGAGAGGACGACCAGCCACACUGGGACUGAGACACGGCCCAGACUCCUACGGGAGGCAGCAGUGGGGAAUUUUGGACAAUGGGCGCAAGCCUGAUCCAGCCAUGCCGCGUGCGGGAAGAAGGCCUUCGGGUUGUAAACCGCUUUGUCAGGGAAGAAAUCCUCUGAGUUAAUACCUCGGGGGGAUGACGGUACCUGAAGAAUAAGCACCGGCUAACUACGUGCCAGCAGCCGCGGUAAUACGUAGGGUGCAAGCGUUAAUCGGAAUUACUGGGCGUAAAGCGUGCGCAGGCGGUUGUGCAAGACAGGUGUGAAAUCCCCGGGCUUAACCUGGGAACUGCACUUGUGACUGCACAGCUGGAGUGCGGCAGAGGGGGAUGGAAUUCCGCGUGUAGCAGUGAAAUGCGUAGAUAUGCGGAGGAACACCGAUGGCGAAGGCAAUCCCCUGGGCCUGCACUGACGCUCAUGCACGAAAGCGUGGGGGAGCAAAACAGGAUUAGAUA
rnacentral:rRNA from 1 species